rnacentral:rRNA from 1 species
GGCGGCAUGCUUACACAUGCAAGUCGAACGGGCAGCACGGGUGCUUGCACCUGGUGGCGAGUGGCGAACGGGUGAGUAAUACAUCGGAACAUGUCCUGUAGUGGGGGAUAGCCCGGCGAAAGCCGGAUUAAUACCGCAUACGAUCUAUGGAUGAAAGCGGGGGACCUUCGGGCCUCGCGCUAUAGGGUUGGCCGAUGGCUGAUUAGCUAGUUGGUGGGGUAAAGGCCUACCAAGGCGACGAUCAGUAGCUGGUCUGAGAGGACGACCAGCCACACUGGGACUGAGACACGGCCCAGACUCCUACGGGAGGCAGCAGUGGGGAAUUUUGGACAAUGGGCGAAAGCCUGAUCCAGCAAUGCCGCGUGUGUGAAGAAGGCCUUCGGGUUGUAAAGCACUUUUGUCCGGAAAGAAAUCCUUGGUUCUAAUAUAGCCGGGGGAUGACGGUACCGGAAGAAUAAGCACCGGCUAACUACGUGCCAGCAGCCGCGGUAAUACGUAGGGUGCGAGCGUUAAUCGGAAUUACUGGGCGUAAAGCGUGCGCAGGCGGUUUGCUAAGACCGAUGUGAAAUCCCCGGGCUCAACCUGGGAACUGCAUUGGUGACUGGCAGGCUAGAGUAUGGCAGAGGGGGGUAGAAUUCCACGUGUAGCAGUGAAAUGCGUAGAGAUGUGGAGGAAUACCGAUGGCGAAGGCAGCCCCUGGGCCAAUACUG